UACGAAGGGUGCAAGCGUUGUUCGGAAUUAUUGGGCGUAAAGAGCAUGUAGGCGGAUGAAUAAGUCAGGUGUGAAAUCUCGGGGCCCAACCCCGAAACUGCGCCUGAAACUGUUUAUCUAGAAUCUUAUAGAGGGAAAGGGAAUUUCACAUGUAGGGGUAAAAUCCGUAGAGAUGUGAAGGAACACCAGAAGCGAAGGCGCUUUCCUGGAGAAGUAUUGACGCUGAGAUGCGAAAGCGUGGGGAGCAAAC
rnacentral:rRNA from 1 species